rnacentral:rRNA from 1 species
UCGGGAAUUUUGGGCAAUGGGCGAAAGCCUGACCCAGCAACGCCGCGUGAAGGAUGAAGUAUUUCGGUAUGUAAACUUCGAAAGAAUGGGAAGAACUCAAUGACGGUACCAUUUAUAAGCUCCGGCUAACUACGUGCCAGCAGCCGCGGUAAUACGUAGGGAGCAAGCGUUGUUCGGAUUUACUGGGCGUAAAGGGCGCGUAGGCGGCAAAUUAAGUCAGCUGUGAAAUCUCCGAGCUUAACUCGGAACUGUCAGCUGAUACUGAUCUGCUAGAGUGCGGAAGGGGCAAUCGGAAUUCUUGGUGUAGCGGUGAAAUGCGUAGAUAUCAAGAGGAACACCUGAGGUGAAGACGGGUUGCUGGGCCGACACUGACGCUGAUGCGCGAAAGCCAGGGGAGCAAACGGGAUUAGAUACCCCGGUAGUCCUGGCCUUAAACGAUGAAUACUUGGUGUCUGGAGUCUCUAUAGCUCCGGGUGCCGUCGCUAACGUUUUUAGUAUUCCGCCUGGGGAGUACGCACGCAAGUGUGA